UUUACCUCUUUCGUCGGAGGCAGUGGGUGGUUUGGCUGCACUGACUCUCCGGUGGGUCGAUGUCAGGAGACGGAUCCCUUUCUAAGCCCGCCCCCUCCUGCCCUUCAGGGAUGAGGCAUCAUCGGCACCCGCAGAGGCUGUCUCGGUCUUGGAAUUUACGUUAUUUAACCAAACACCUAGAGCCUGCUCUCUGUGGAUCACACAUUGUUCCAAGCAUUUUACACACAGGAACUCAUGUAUUCCUCAUGGUUACGCUGUGUUGGCCCCAUUUUACAGAUGAGGAAACCAAGGCACGGAGAGGUGACCUAAGGCUACAGAGUGCGCGCCUCUCCGUGCCAUGCGGCGUUGCCCUUGCCACGACUCUGGUCGCCUCCCUUCCUGUCUGCCCACUGCUCCCACCAGGGCCACAGGCUCCCAGUUAAGGGGCAGUUCACAUAGGCUCCUGAGUCCAGCCUCUCCUCCCCGCACUCCAUCUAAAAGCCACCGCUUAACUAGGGUCACUAAGUAUAAUCUCCUGCUGAGACUUUUCAGUGGGAAUUUUAGGGGUAUGAGAAGAUGCUUAUGACUUAAAAAACAAAUCGCAAAACUGUACAUAAUGGUAGGUAUCUAUUCUUUGUUUCUGUCUGUCUACCCAUCUAUCUAUUACAGCACUUGGCUCCCCCAUCAGAUUUGCAGAUCUAACCCCACAUGUCAUGGAUUUUUCUGGAAAAUAAAUGUGGUUUGCAAGAAUGCAUUUUGCCACCCCUGUGUAUUUUCCUGAGGCAGGAUAAAUUAGUAGUUAGGACCUAGAGCCUUAGAAUCAAAAUGAAAUUACAGUCCUAUUGGUCCUGGGCAGUGGUACCUACCGCAGGAGACUAGUGAGAGAAUUAAAUGAGAUCGGGUCCCCCAAACAGCAGGUAUAGAGCUGGUUCUUGGUAAUGUGCUCUGGGCUCGAGCGAAGACAAUACUUAGGGGCCUGGUCAUAAAACAUUCUGAGGAGGGGCGCCUAGUGGCUCAGUUGAUUAAGCAUCUGAGUUUUGAUCUCGGCUAGGGUCUUGAUCUUCAGGUUGUGAAAUGCAGCCAUACACUGGGCUCUGCGCUCAGUGAGGAGCCCUGCUCCCACAACUUAUCUCUCCAGCCAGUGUGCUAUCAUAAUGAGGAUGUCUAUAAAAUAAUCUCAGACAUCAUCUUUUUUUUUAUUGAGGCACGAUUGACAUCCAUUAUAUUAGUUUCAGGUUGACAAUAUAAUGAGUCGACAUUUAUAUGUAUUACAGAAGGAUCAGCACAGUCAAUCUAGUUACCCAUCACCACACUAGGUACAGAUUUCUCUUCUUGCAAUGACACUUUUCAGAUCUACUCUCUUAGCAGCUCUCACUGUGGUUACAAUAUUAUUCACUGUAGUUGCCGUGUUGUAUGUUACAUCCCCAGGACUGACUUAUUUUAUAACUGGAAAUUUUUAUCCUUUGACUCCCUCCACCCAUUUUGCCCACCCCCAACCCCCAACUCUGGCAGCCACCCAUCCGUUCUCUGUGUCCGUGGGCUCAGUUUGUUUGCUUUGUUUUAGAUUCCUCGUGUAAGGGAGAAUAUAUAGCAUUUGUCCUUCUCUGCUGAUCCGCUUAGUGUAGUGCCCCCAGGGCCCAUUCAGGUUGUCCCAAAUGGCAAGAUUGUGUUCUUUUUUAUGGCUCAGUAGUACUCCAGUGUGAAUAUAUAUCAAGUUUCCUUUAUUGAUUCAUCCAUUGAUGGACACUUUGGUUGUUUCCAAAUCUUGGUUACUGGAAA